GCCGAUGUGGUGGAAUUGGUAGACACGCUGUCUUGAGGGGGCAGUGGCUCUGGCCGUGCCGGUUCGAGUCCGGCCAUCGGCACCA
rnacentral:tRNA from 1 species